UUUUAUUUUAUUAUUAUCAUUUUUUUGAGAUGGAGUCUCACUCUGUCACCCAGGCUGGAAUGCAGUGGCAUGAUCUCGGCCCACUGCAAGCUCCGUUUCCUGGGUUCAUGCCAUUCUCCUGCCUCAGCCUCCUGAGUACCGGGGACUGCAGGCGCUCACCACUACACCCGGCUAAUUUUUUGUAUUUUUAAUAGAGAUGGGGUUUCACCAUGUUAGCUGGGAUGGUCUCAAUCUCCUGACCUCGUGAUAUGCCCACUUCGGCCUCCCAAAGUGCUGGGAUUACAGGCAUAAGCCACCGCGCCCGACCCUACUUUUGGCAUUUCUUGCAGAGUUUUUCUGGUAUCGACAAAUACUCUCAGCAUUUGCUUGUCUGAGAAAGACUUUAUUUCUACUUCAUUUAUGAAACUUAGUUUUGCUGGAUACAAAAUUCUUAGCUGACUGUUAUUCUGCUUAAGGCAGCUAAAGAUCAGACCUCAAUCCCUUCUGGCUUGUAAAAUUUCUGCUGAGAAGUCGGCUGUUAGUCUGGUAGGUUUUCCUUUAUAGGUUACCUGAUGCUUUAGUCUCACUGCUCUUAGAAUUCUUUCCUUCAUGUUGACUUUAGAUAGACUUAUGACUCUAUGCCUUGGUGAUUUCCUUUUUGCAAUGAAUCUCCCAGGAGUUCUUUGAACUCUUUGUAUAUGGUUGUCUAAAUCUGUAGCAAGGCCAGGGAUGUUUUCCUCAAUUAUUCCCUCAAAUACAUUUUCCAAAUUUUUGCUCUUUGUUCACCCUCAUGAACACCAAUGAGUCUUAUAUUUGGCCAUUUUGCAUAAUCUCAUAUUCCUUGGAGACUUUGUUCAUUUCUUUUAAUUCUUUUUUUUAUGUUUUGGUUAAUCUUUGUCUCAUAGCUUGAUAUAAGGAUUGUAUAUAUUUACCAUGUACAACAUGAUAUUUUGAAAUAUGCAUAAAUUUUGGAAUGUUACAAUUGAGCUGAUUAACAUACAUAUUACCUCACAUACUCAUCAUUUUUGUGGUAAGAACACUUACAAUCUACACUUUUAGUGAUUUUCAAAAUACACUGUUGUUCACUGAAGUCACCACGUUUUAUAAUAGUUCUUUAAAUACAUGUAAUAACUGAAAUUUAAGCCAUGCAUGAGAUGGCCCGAGGAGAGAAUAAAGGUUAGCAAGGUUGACUACUACCAAAACUUCAGGAGAAAAAGCCCACAGAGGAGAAAAAGGAGGGAUCAGACAAGAGAGGGUGAAACUGGACAAGGAGAAAUCAACAGAAGAGAGGCACAGACAAAAUAAGUGUAUGUUUCUUAAAGGUCAGAUGUUUUGAAUCAGUAGUUCAAUCAAGGAUCAUGACAAAAUAAAAUGUUGGUUUUGGCAACACUGUUGAAUUUGGAAAGCCUCCAGGGUCGGGUGAGCAGGGAUGAGGUGAAGCAAUGAACAGUGAGUAUGGGCAGCUCUUUUGAGAGGUGGCUAUGAAGGACAAGAAGUCUGGAGCUGGAGGUGGGAGCGCUUUCAGGGGCCAGAAGGUCUCCUUUCCCCCCAGUAUUGAUAGACUUUUCUUAUUUUCCCACAUAUAUAACAAUGACUAGGUAUUUUUAACAUCAGAAUACACAAUUGUUUUCCAAAAGUUAUAAACGAUGAUACUAUACAAAGUAUCUACUCCUAUAUUAAAGAGGUUUGCGAAAUAAGAAAGAGGUAGACAAUAAAUAUGAAAUACUUUGCAAAUGCUGGCAGGACAAUUUAGGAGUGGUAGGCACAGGGAUAGAAUAAUAACACAACCUUUGCAAUUAUGCAGAAUGAAAUUAAAACUUGGUUUCUAUAUGUAACAACUCAAUAACUUUCUUCUCUCAUUUAAAAAAUAGGUAUAAUAUUGAGUAGGAACCUCAAAAAUACUCAGAAACUACAGGAUUUUAUUUAAUGUUUGCUCUGAAUGGGAGACAACACAAAACAUGAGUAGGGCCUCUCCUUGUGGACUCUCUAGAGGGAUAGAUCUAACCAAAGAGGCCUGAGUCCUAAGCCACGGUGCAGAGAUUCAGUAAGGUCCCAUGUCCCUUCUUGGGACCAUCUGAUGGACUUGGCUGUUAGCCCAGCCAACAGGGGGCCCAUGGGGCCUCAGUCCUAAGGGGGGUGAAUGCAAGACCUGGCAGUAAGGCUCUAUGGGACUCCACCCUCAGAGGUCUGGCUGGCUCCAGUCUAUUCAAAGUACUUAAGAGGGGCAUUCGAGGACACGACCAGGCCAUAGAAGUUUUUUCAACAUGAUUUCUAAACAAACACUUUAAUUACUUGGGGGAUAAGAGAGCUAUUGCCUUCAAACAGGAAGUGCUUGAAUACUCCACAUGAUUCCAGAGCUCAGAAUUAGGACCAAUAAAAAAUUAUGUCCAACUACUGGAAUAAUCGGUAAAUAGGAUGCACUGCAUAGCAAAGACCUCAAGCCUCUGUCACAUUAAAAGCCAAAGCAGAAACUGGAGGAUGGCCAGGCAGAGAAGGUAGAGAUCUGACCAAGUAUCCCAUAGACUAGUGAACUCUACUGCACUCUUUCCAGUUCUGAGAUUGCACCUGCAAGUCCACAGGCUGCAAGUAAACACAUGUCACACAAAAGGCAGGUGUGCAUUCUGAAACUUGGAAUCAGGAGAAAAAUCUCUGUAGCAGGCAGUUGUAAAUACUUAAAUAUUGGUCUACUUGCUCUUGAUGACAUUAUGAAGUGAAAUCAAUAUAAUAUGUGGGCGAUCUGUUCAUAGUUAGUGCAGUACACACUCCAGGGGUGGAUAAUAAGUCUCAUUUAAAUAUGAGAUCAGUGGCUUAGUCUGAGAGGAAAUACCCCCACUGACUAACCUCAAAGACACAGAGAGUCAUAAUACCUAUGCCUGCAGGGGGCUGCCAUUGCCAUUAUCAAAAGCCAGCCCAUACCUGCUGUUAAUUUCUGAGAAGUGAUGGCCAAAAGCAUCCCACAUCAUUUCAAUCUGGCCUGAAAUGUUGCCUGGAUAACUCUAAGUGCUUCUCACCUGGUUGUCCUUUUCCUCUGCUCACUUUCGCAGAGGAAGCCAGAUGACAUCAUUCCUCUGUGCACACCUUGCCAUGACUUUAUUUCCUGCAAUAAAAGCUGAAGAACUCACCUGUCCAUUGGGAUCUGGCCCUAGUCAUCCUUCUACCAAAUCACCUGCUACCCCAGCCCUUGCUCCCUUCAUCACAAGACCAAACUAGCCUUUGUUCCUCCCUCUUUGGGGUCUUUGAGUGCCUGUCUUCACUGCGAGCUGUCGUAAUCUGCACAUCCUCAGGGCCGAUUCCCUGUCUUCACUGCGAGCCAUCCUAAUCCGCACAUCCUCAGGGCUGAAUCCCUGUCUUCACUGCUAGUCAUCCUCAUCUGCACGUCCUCAGGCCGAAUCCCUGUCUUCACUGCCAGCCGUCCUCAUCGGCACAUCCUCAGGCCAAAUCCCUGUCUUCACUGCCAGCCGUCCUCAUCUGCACAUCCUCAGGGCGGAAUUCCUUUCCAGCUUGGCGCCUAUGCCCAGGAGGCCUCCUCACACUGAGGCACUGCCACCUGGCCCCUUGUCUAUGGGUUUGCUUUGCCAUAUCAAUCGUGCUCUUUUAUCAUUCUCUAUUACGAAUGUAAUUGUAUUGAAUAUUUCCUACCUCUCUCCAUUAGACUAAGAGCCUCAUGAAGAGAGAGAGAGAUCUCCGUCUGUUUUCUUCAUGAAUGUUUACCAAGCUCCUAGAACAAUGCCUGCACAUGGGGAGCACUCAAAAAGUGUUCUAGAAAUUAAUAUAUUGAUUAAUAAUUGGGAAAAAUCCUGUUUGAUGACCUACCAUGUUCCUACCACAAGACAAGGAAUUUUGUAUAUGAUGAAAGAUGAUAAUUACGUGGAUAAAAUUUAGUUUAUGUACAUAAGCCUCAAUCAAAAACAAUAAAAUGUGAUGGAAGCUACACAUUACAACUGUCUAUGAGCAUUCCAGGUUCUCUGGUCUUUGGACUCUGGGAGGAGCAUCAGCAGACCCCAGGUUCUCCAACCUUCAACCUCAGUCUGAGAGUUACACCAUUGGCUCCCUGGGUCUACAGCUUGAAAACGGCCUGUCAUGGAACUUCCCGCCUCCGUAAUCAUGUGAACCAAUUCUGUUAGUGAUUUCCCUUCCAUAUCAUCUAUAUCACCUGUCUUACCAUCUACAUCUUUAAUCUAUGUCUAUGUUAUCUAGAUAUCUAUAUCUACAUCUAUAUCUGUAUGUAUAUCUAUAUGUAUCUAUAGCUAUCAUCUAUAUAUAUCUACAUUAUCUGUAUAUAUCUACAUUAUCUGUAUCAUCUACAUGUAUAUCUAUAUCCAUGUCUACAUCUACAUCUAUAACUAUAUCUUUGUGGUUACCUCCCAAUGCUUCUGUCUCUAGAGAACCCUGAAAAAUACAUCAUAUGCAGGUAGUAAAACUGUGAAGAAAAUAGAGGAAAUAUUUUCUGUGAAAGUAAUAAGAAUUACUAUAUUUGUACUGAUGAAUAAAUUGAGAUUGGAGAAGGAAACAAGAGUCUUCUCAGGAGCUUAAACUAUUGUAUUUUACCAUGGAAGUAAACCUAUCAGCUGAUGAGAAGAUCAAAGAGAUGAGAAGAUCAAUAAGAAACAGAAGCAUUAAGCCACCUCUGAAACUAAUAAACUACCUAAAGUAGAACUGGAGGGUAAUGGCUAUUGGCAAGAACCAGGAACAUGUGAGACCUUGGGAAGCGGAAGCUGGACCACACAGAACACCUAUGUGGACUCACUCAUAUGUGGAAUAUAGGAUAUUUGCAUGUUCUUGUCAAUGAUGCCUUGAGCUGCUCCUUUGAAGUACUCACUACACUCAGAAUUAUACAUUCAAUGUAUAGCACCUGCUCCACUGUGAACUUAAUGAGGGCAUGACUGUGUCUCAUCCAGCACCCCAUCCUAGGCACAGUGCAUUAUCUGCCAGGGAGUUAGCACUUCUCUCUUCACUUAUAUUAAAUUUAUGUUCAGUAAAUCAAUCAGUGAUACAUAAUCUUACACGAGUUUAACGUCUGUAAACACUGCAAUACAAAUAUGUGCUUACAUAUAUUUUUAGGGAGGGCACCUUAAGUGUUUGGCCAUAACAACUUCAGAGAUUUUUCAGGUAGAACUUCUUCAAUAUUUAACAAAAAAAUGCAAAUAAUUUAGAUAUGCUCUAUAUUAUUUUAUGAGAGAGUCAGAUGUAGCCACAGGAGGAGAAACAAAAUAGACUGAGGGAAAAAACAAAGUUUGUUAUGCUCACAGGUCCUCGGAACAGCAGGAACAGCACCAUGCAGUUCCUCACAGGGAAGGCACAGGUGUGGUCAGCAGCUGAAAGACAGGAUGAGAAGGCUUAGGUCACAAACAGGUCACAAGUUGCACAAAGGGCUCCCGUGGACACUCCUGAUCCAGAACAGCAGAAGGCACCUUGGGCUGAGGGCACCUGCAAGGGAGGACUGUGUGUGUCUGCACCGGGAUCUACACUGCACUGGCACUGCAUAAGCCCCAGCACCUGAGAAACAACCAUCCUUCAAAGAAAGGACAAUUCCCCAAAUGAUGGAGCAUAGAUUUCCAUCACACAUGCAGCACAGGUGUUAAAACUGGAUUCUAGAAAAAUUCAUUUUUACUUUUCACACACUUAUAUCUGUGGGUAGAGAAACCACUCACAACAAAUGUUAAGAUACUCUUUCUGUCUUACUACAGACAUUUCCACCUGGUUCUUUCUCAAUUCUAAAAUUUUUAAUUAGUGCAUUUUGACAUAUGUCACUUUAUCUUCAUGUGGUAGGAAAAUUAUUUUCUUUUUGUUUUCUGACUUUGGCAUUGCCUAUGACAUGUUUUUGAGACACUAAGUGGUAUAGUAAUCUUACCCCUAAACAAUGUUAGGUGGAAAGGAAGGCUCAUUUUAGAGUGAGCCAUGUUGGAAGUGUUCCAUUUCAUUACAAUCUGUACCUUCAAGGGACUCUCAGUGAAACAGGAAAACAUGAAAACAAUAAGUUAAGGGCAAGAAUUUAUAUAUAAAUAAAUGGUAACUAGAGCUUCCUGAAGGUGCUUUGGGGCAGCCCAUAAGCAAUAUUUUCCAGGCCAUUGGGGUCUUCAGGGUUGUCUACCCACCCCUGCUGUCAGUCAAGGGUAAAAAUAAAUAACAAAACUGUUCAUCACACCUGAAAUCAAAUAUUUUCUCACAGGAAUGCCAAAUAUUUGAACAAUUAAAUCAAAUUGUGAAGAUAGUGGUCUAAGGUAAGGGUCAGCAAACUUUUUCUUAAAUGUCGCGAUAGUAAAGGGUUUUGACUUUGUGAUCAUGUAUGGCCUCUGUUAUAUACUCACAUGUAUGCCCACACACUUACAACUCUUUAAAAAUGUAAAAUCCAUUCUUAGCUCACGGGUCUACAAAUUAAGGUUGAUAGUUUGCUGACUCCUAGUCUAAGGUGUAGAGGAAAGUUUGCAACUCACGAAAAAUAUUGUUAACUUCCUAAGUCCCAUGGGCCUUGAUGCAUACAUCAGGAGCAGGUGCAGCUACACUGCCUCUCGGGUGGCAGUGGAUGCAGUUGAUGAGGAAUACUUGGUAGUGCUACAAUAAGAGUAUAAAGAAAAAGGGCUCGAUUAUUCCAGGUAAGGUAGGGAAAAGGAUCACGUGGAAAUUGAUGAGUUGGAAUGACAUAUUUUGAGUAUACUUUAUACAAUCUAAAACAAUCACAAAAAGUAUAGAGACAGGUAGAGUUAGCUAGAGAUAGAGAUGCAGAUAGUGGAGAUGAUUGCUCAGUGACAUUAAGGUGUACAGUGUGAAGUUGCUGUUGUCGCAACUGGUUUCAGCUUCCAUGGGCCUUUCAAAAUCUGUGCUUCUAACCAGUCUUAAGAAGUCUAAUACUUAAAGUGUUUUUUCAUACAAAAUCCCCUCAAGUAAACCUUCAGUUUGUAAGCAGCAAAAACAAUGGUCAAUUCUAAACUUGUAGGAAACCUUACUUUGCUGGACUUACUGAGGAGAAAGUAUGUUGUUAUCUAAAAUGGUACCUUCCUAAGAGAUUUUCAGAAAAAUGUUUGCCCUAUGUCAUCUUUUUCCAUAUGUAUUAAUUUUAGAAUUUAUAUAUCCAAAUAAAAUGUUUCAUCAUUGAUUGUAUACUGAUUCUGGAAGGGUAGAUAUUCAGCCACUGCAUAAUCAAAGCCAGGAAACAUGUUUAAAGUCAUCGACAGUUUGAAAGAAGACCUAGUUUGAAAGCAGAAAGAAGUGAUUAUGGAAUUACGCUUGUGAGGGGAUAGACCCAUCUCCUGGUAAGCGCUAGGUCUUUGGAGUAUAGUAUUAAUGCAUUUUUUAUAUUGUAUAUGUUCUAUAUGAAUAUACCUUAUAAGUGGUGUGAAGACCCCCAGCUCAGUGAUAACAUAUAAAUGACAUAAAUGAGCUGUCUUACCAUUUGAUAUAGCAAUUUUAUCAGCGUUUUAUCAAGUGGGAGGAGAGCUCAUUUAUUAGAGACUCUAUAAUCCAGACAACUAACUGAUACAGGUAACAGUGAAGUAAACAUUGAGACAUGUUUCCAGUCAUUCACUUACAUUGCAUUUACUGAGCUUCAAUUUUGGUCAGACUGAAGGUAUAUGAUGAGAUUCCAAGGAAAUCUUGGAUAUAAUUAAAACAAGUCUGAUGUAAUUUUUAAAAAUAUUAUGAUUUGUGGCUUUUUCCAAUGUAGGAAAUGACCUUUCCCUAAAUACUCUGUAGUGUGACUUCAAAAUUUCUAUUCCCUGAUUUCAAUACAAUACAAUAUGUAAACAAUAAAAUUUCUAUUUGAACCCUAACAUCUUAUUUAAAUGUUUAUGUGUAGAUCCAAAAUGUUACUGUAUGGGUUUCUACAUCUAUGAGACAGUUACUUACCCCAUUCUUGUCAUCCAGCAAUAGGUGUAACAGUAAAACUACUGCACAGAAUUAUUCACAGAUUAAAGAUGUACAGAUGGUGUAAAUAGUAUCUGGCCCACAGCAAACACUCAAGAAAUGUUGGCUAUUUAUGUUAGAUAUUUUAAUUUUAAAAUUCCAUAUCUUGAUAAAAGCUAGGGCAGGGUAGAGUAAGAAUUAUUUUAUAGCUAUGAAAAUAUCUCUUUAUUCAGAUCAGCUCUUUUCAGAGCAUUAAAAAAUACUGAAGAAGAGAAAUAAUAUAAUUUAGCAGUGACAUUAUAUUUUCGAAGCUGCUAUAAUUGUACAUAUGCUCUCCAUUUCCUUACCAUUCUAUGAACAGUAAGAAACAGUUUCUAAUGUAUAAAAUUACUUGUUCUAAAACAUACUUAACCUUUAAAAUAUAUCUCUUAGAUAACUGAUAAUUCCUGCUUUGUUGCUGAAAACUCACUACUCUUAA
rnacentral:lncRNA from 1 species